CAUUCGAGUGGCGGACGGGUGAGUAACGCGUGGGUAACCUGCCUUACACAGGGGGAUAACACCUGGAAACAGGUGCUAAUACCGCGUAAGCGCACAGGGCCGCAUGGCCCGGUGUGAAAAACUCCGGUGGUGUAAGAUGGACCCGCGUCUGAUUAGCUUGUUGGCGGGGUAGAGGCCCACCAAGGCGACGAUCAGUAGCCGGCCUGAGAGGGUGGACGGCCACAUUGGGACUGAGACACGGCCCAAACUCCUACGGGAGGCAGCAG
rnacentral:rRNA from 1 species